AACGCGAAGAACCUUACCUGGGUUGAACUACGCAGGAAAAGCUGCAGAGAUGUAGUGUCCGCAAGGGCCUGCGAUAGGUGGUGCAUGGCUGUCGUCAGCUCGUGUCGUGAGAUGUUGGGUUAAGUCCCGCAACGAGCGCAACCCUUAUCCCUAGUUGCCAUCGGGUCAAGCCGGGCACUCUAGUGAAACCGCCCAGGAUAACUGGGAGGAAGGUGGGGAUGACGUCAAGUCCUCAUGGCCUUUAUGUCCAGGGCUACACACGUGCUACAAUGGUCGGUACAAACCGUCGCAAACCCGCGAGGGGGAGCUAAUCGGAAAAAGCCGGCCUCAGUUCGGAUUGGAGUCUGCAACCCGACUCCAUGAAGCUGGAAUCGCUAGUAAUCGCGGAUCAGAACGCCGCGGUGAAUACGUUCCCGGGCCUUGUACACACCGAGACGUA
rnacentral:rRNA from 1 species